AGAGUUCGAUCCUGGCUCAGGAUGAACGCUGGCGGCGCGCCUAACACAUGCAAGUCGAACGGUUAAAGCCCCUUCGGGGGUGCAUAGAGUGGCGAACGGCUGAGUAACACGUGGGCAACCUGCCCCCCGCACCGGGACAGCCUCGGGAAACCGUGGUUAAUACCGGAUACUCCGCCACCCCCGCAUGGGGGCGGCGGGAAAGCCCAGGCGGAGGGGGAUGGGCCCGCGGCCUGUUAGCUCGUUGGCGGGGUAACGGCCCACCAAGGCGAUGAUGGGUAGCCGGGUUGAGAGACCGACCGGCCAGAUUGGGACUGAGACACGGCCCAGACUCCUACGGGAGGCAGCAGUGGGGAAUCUUGCACAAUGGGCGAAAGCCUGAUGCAGCGACGCCGCGUGCGGGACGAAGGCCUUCGGGUCGUAAACCGCUUUCAGCAGGGACGAGGCCGCGAGGUGACGGUACCUGCAGAAGAAGCCCCGGCUAACUACGUGCCAGCAGCCGCGGUAAUACGUAGGGGGCAAGCGUUAUCCGGAUUUAUUGGGCGUAAAGCGCGCGCAGGCGGCCUGCUCGGUCGGGAGUCAAAUCCGGGGGCUCAACCCCCGCCCGCUCCCGAUACCGGCGGGCUUGAGUCUGGUAGGGGAAGGCGGAAUUCCCAGUGUAGCGGUGGAAUGCGCAGAUAUUGGGAAGAACACCGGUGGCGAAGGCGGCCUUCUGGGCCACGACUGACGCUGAGGCGCGAAAGCUAGGGGAGCGAACAGGAUUAGAUACCCUGGUAGUCCUAGCCGUAAACGAUGGACACUAGGUGUGGGGGGAGGAUCCCUCCGUGCCGCAGCCAACGCAUUAAGUGUCCCGCCUGGGGAGUACGGCCGCAAGGCUAAAACUCAAAGGAAUUGACGGGGGCC
rnacentral:rRNA from 1 species